rnacentral:rRNA from 1 species
CUUGAACGCUGGCGGCAGGCUUAACACAUGCAAGUCGAACGAGAGGCGGACGGGUGAGUAAUGCUUGGGAAUAUAGCUUAUGGAGGGGGAUAAAUACGGGAAACUGUAGCUAAUACCGAGUACCAUAGGAUGAGCCCAAGUGGGAUUGGGUAGUUGGUGAGGUAAAGGCUCACCAAGCCGACGAUAUCUAGCUGGUCUGAGAGGAUGACCAGCAACACUGGGACUGAUGCACGGCCCAGACUCCUACGUGGGGCAGCAGUGGGGACUAUUGCGCAUUGGGGGCAACCUGACGCAGCCAUGCCGCGUGAAUGAAGAAGGCCUUCGGGUUGUUCAGUUCUUUCGGUAGCGAGGCGUUAACCACAGAAGAAGCCCCGGCUAACUCCGUGCCAGCAGCCGCGGUAAUAC